CUUUAAUGCCUGUGUGACUGUAGACUUGCACGAGCUGUUCAGUCCUGGGGGCGGGUCAGCAUUCCGUCGCUAAGCAACGGCCAAAACCGUCAAUCACUGCCAGGUGCCUGCGUCUGACCAGCAGCUACAUGAGAAGUGGCACAACCAUUUUGGACCUCUUCUCGAAUGACAAGACCGCCGACGGGGGGAAGAGAUUGCUGCAUGUUGCUAUGGUGCUAAUAACAAGUUGGAGGAGAUGCAUUCAAGCAGUCAAGAUGAAGAUGGCUCCUGAUGUAAUCUGCACGCUCAUUUUACUCUGAAAAUCAGCACAGAUGUUAACAUGGUUGAGAACAUGAGCCAUUUGCUUUGCUAAAGACCAGAAAACCUUCGCCGCCUCUCAUCAUGGGAUGGAAUCAUUACGACUAUCAUCUCAGUAUGGAAAAGUGGGAGAAAGGUCAACCAGCUCACAGUCCACUUCAUGCAUAAUUAUAGUUAUGUGUCUCUCUAGUUGUUUGUCACAGUUUGGCCACCUUUCUCAGUAAAGAAACUAAAUUAAUAAAGAAUUAUUUUUUUUCUUGUAUCACUUGCUGCCAGCUGCCUCUGAUCCAGGAGCUGUAACAUCACAAAAGCGUGCAUCAAUCGUGGCUUCCCAAGCAACCCAAAACUAUUUCCUGGGAAACAAUGCUGUGCAAACCUGGCACUAUACCUGCCACCUCAACCAUUUUCCUGCCAAAGCUUGUUGCACUGCUGAGCUAGCCUUCCCUAAUAUUUCCAACCUCUGCUUGUUGUGCAGUCUGCCACAGCAAAGAAGGUGCAGGUGUUUUACUGCAUCUGUUUAUGCGGCUGAAUCUGUUAAUUUAUAUGAGCAGAGUUUAGGACAAGUUGAAAUAGUGUAUGUAUAAUGGUCUGUACACUUAUUGUACACGUUUCACUUCGUUGUUUGGCCUUCAAAAUAGGCACAUUUGUAAUACGAAGCAGCCCAUCAAUGACUGGCAGUGUCAACAGAGUUUUGUUGAUGAUGCUUUAUUGAUUCCCAAACUGAAUCACAAGUCAGCACUCCAUCACGACGACCCAGUCAGUCCAACAAACAGCGAGGAGCAAGCAAAUGUGUUUUUCUCGAGAGUCUAAAAAAUCAGUUAUGUUCUUUAAAUGGUGUACAGUUUCUAAUUCUGAACCACAGGGCUUCACUGUAGAUAAAUAUUGUUGCAUUGGAUGUUGAGAGAUCUUUCUCUCCUAAUCAAACUUGUUGUUCCUAAUUACAAGAGAGAUAAUAUAAGGUUUUUGAUUAAUUAUAGAAAGUCUGGUCUAAUUGUAUUAGUGGGCAUUGUGGAAGUCAGUAGAAGUCUGGUGAUGGAGCAGUACCAUCAUGUAAGAGAUAACCCAAACGCUCCUUUUACAAGGAAGUGUGUCCUGCACAGUGACAAUAAAGAAUUACAAAUUUA